rnacentral:rRNA from 1 species
GGAUGCCUAACAGCUACUAUGAUCGUCGAGCAGGUAUGAUCGUGAGCUUGCUCCUUGUAUUCAGCGGCGGACGGGUGAGUAAUGCCUAGGAAUCUGCCUGGUAGUGGGGGACAACGUUUCGAAAGGAACGCUAAUACCGCAUACGUCCUACGGGAGAAAGCAGGGGACCUUCGGGCCUUGCGCUAUCAGAUGAGCCUAGGUCGGAUUAGCUAGUUGGGGUGGGAUCUAUCAUGGCUACACACAACUGUGCGACAGAUCCGUAAAUGGUCUGAGAGGUAUGAUUCAAGUACACACUGGAACUGAGAACACGCUUCCAGACUCCUACGGGAGGCCAGCAGUGGGCAAAUAUUGAGACAAUGGCCGAAAGCCUCGAUCCCAGCCAUGCCGCGGGAUGUGAAGAACGUCUUUCGAAUAGUACAAGCACUUUUAAGUAGGGAGGAACGAGCAGUAAGCUAACUACCUUGCUGUUUUGACGUUACCGACAGAAUAAGCACCGGAUUAACUCUGUGCCAGCAGCCGCGGUAAUACAGAGGGUGCAAGCGUUAAUCAGUAAUUACUGGGCAUCAAAGCGCGCGUAAGGUGGUUUGUUAAGUUGGAUGUGAAAGCCCCGGGCUCAACCCUGUGGAACUGCAUCCAAAACUGGCAAGCUAGAGUACGGUAGAGGGGUGGUGGAAUUUUCCUGUGUAGCGGUGAAAUGCGUAGAUAUAGGAAGGAACACCAGUGGCGAAAGGCGACCACCUGGACUGAUUACUGACACUGAGGUGCGAAAACGUGUGGGAGCAAACACGAGUAGAUACCCUGGUAGUCCACGCCGUAAUACGAUGAUCAACUACGCCGUUGGAACUCCUUCGAGAUAUUUAGUGGCGCACCUAACUGCAUUAAGUUGACCGCCUGUGGGAGUACAGCCUGCAACGGUGUAAAACUCAAAUGAAUUGUACGGGGCGCCCGCACAAACAGCUGCAGCACGGUGGUGUUAAUUCGAAGUCAACGACGAAGAACAUUACCACGCCGUUGACAUGCAGACGAACUAUCCAGAAAUGGAUUGGUGCCUGUCGGCAACUCUGACUACAGACAUAGCAUGCAUGUAGUCAUGUCCUCAGCUCGUGCCGUCUGAGAUGAUUGGGUUAAGUCCCGUAACGAGCGAAAGCCCUCGUCCUUACUUACCAGCACGUCAUGGCUGGGUCAUCUCUAAGCAGACUGACGGUGAUCAAACCGGACGAACGUGAGGAUGACGUCAAGUCAUCAUGGCCUUUCUUACGGCCUGGGCUACACACGUGCCUACAAUGAUCGGUACAUGAUGUGCGUUAUAGCCAAGACCGCAAGCGAUGGAGCUAAUCUCACAAAACCGAUCGUAGUCCGGAUCGCAGUCUGCAACUCGACUGCGUGAAGUCGGAAUCGCUAGUAAUCGCGAAUCAGAAUGUCGCGGUGAAUACGUUCCCGGGCCUUGUACACACCGCCCGUCACACCAUGGGAGUGGGCUUCUCCAGAAGUUCCUUGUUCAACUAUUCUCGACGCACGGUCACUAGAUGGUGUUAACGUUCC